AUUUUUCAAGGAGUAAACUGGUUAACAUGGAUUCUAAAAAAAAAGGCGGCAAAUGAUUUGACGUGAUGAUAGAACGUGUCUGUCUCUCGGGUCGUUACUUUUUGUCUUUAAAGUAAUUUAUUUGGUUUAUAAUAGAUACUUCUUACAUAAUAAAAGAAAAAGGAUAUGGGUUAUCCAUACAGUACACAAUUCAGUCCAUAUACGGCAAAAACACAAAAAGAAAAGGAACCGCCAUUUUAUUGAUGUAUGUUGCGCUUUAGAACCAC
rnacentral:lncRNA from 1 species